UACGGAGGGAGCUAGCGUUGCUCGGAAUCACUGGGCGUAAAGCGCACGUAGGCGGCUUUUUAAGUCAGGGGUGAAAUCCUGGAGCUCAACUCCAGAACUGCCUUUGAUACUGAGAAGCUUGAGUCCGGGAGAGGUGAGUGGAACUGCGAGUGUAGAGGUGAAAUUCGUAGAUAUUCGCAAGAACACCAGUGGCGAAGGCGGCUCACUGGCCCGGUACUGACGCUGAGGUGCGAAAGCGUGGGGAGCAAACAGG
rnacentral:rRNA from 1 species